AACGCUGGCGGCGUGCCUCAGACAUGCAAGUCGAACGAUUAAAGCCCUCUUCGGAGGGUGCAUAAAGUGGCGCACGGGUGAGUAACACGUAAGUAAUCUACCUUCGAGUGGGGAAUAACGUUCGGAAACGAACGCUAAUACCGCAUAAUGCAGCGGCAUCGCAAGAUGACAGUUGUUAAAGAUUUUAUCGCUUGAAGAGGAGCUUGCGGCAGAUUAGCUAGUUGGUAAGGUAACGGCUUACCAAGGCGACGAUCUGUAUCCGGUCUAAGAGGACGGUCGGACACACUGACACUGAAUAACGGGUCAGACUCCUACGGGAGGCAGCAGUCGGGAAUUUUGGGCAAUGGGCGAAAGCCUGACCCAGCAACGCCGCGUGAAGGAUGAAGUAUUUCGGUAUGUAAACUUCGUAAGAAUGGGAAGAAUAAAUGACGGUACCAUUUGUAAG
rnacentral:rRNA from 1 species